GCUUGCUGGGUGGAUUAGUGGCGAACGGGUGAGUAACACGUGAGUAACCUACCCUUGACUCUGGGAUAAGCCUGGGAAACUGGGUCUAAUACCGGAUAGGAACGUCCACCGCAUGGUGGUUGUUGGAAAGAUUUAUCGGUCAUGGAUGGACUCGCGGCCUAUCAGCUUGUUGGUGAGGUAAUGGCUCACCAAGGCGACGACGGGUAGCCGGCCUGAGAGGGUGACCGGCCACACUGGGACUGAGACACGGCCCAGACUCCUACGGGAGGCAGCAGUGGGGAAUAUUGCACAAUGGGCGAAAGCCUGAUGCAGCGACGCCGCGU
rnacentral:rRNA from 1 species